rnacentral:tRNA from 1 species
UGAUAAGAAGAGGACUUAAACCUCUGUUGAUGGGGC